rnacentral:rRNA from 1 species
GAUGAGCGCUGGCGGCGUGCCGAAUACAUGCAAGUCGAGCGAACAGAUGAGAAGCUUGCUUCUCUGAUGUUAGCGGCGGACGGGUGAGUAACACGUGGGUAACCUACCUAUAAGACUGGGAUAACUACGGGAAACCGGGGCUAAUACCGGAUAAUAUUUUGAACCGCAUGGUUCAAUAGUGAAAGACGGUUUCGGCUGUCACUUAUAGAUGGACCCGCGCCGUAUUAGCUCUUUGGUAAGGUAACGGCUUACCAAGGCGACGAUACGGAGCCGACCUGAGAGGGUGAUCGGCCACACUGGAACUGAGACACGGUCCAGACUCCUACGGGAGGCAGCAGUAGGGAAUCUUGCGCAAUGGGCGAAAGCCUGACGCAGCGACGCCGCGUGCGGGAAGACGGCCUUCGGGUUGUAAACCGCUUUCAGAAGGGACGAAGCCACUCGGGUGAAUAGCCCAGAGGGUGACGGUACCUCCAGAAGAAGCCCCGGCUAACUACGUGCCAGCCGCCGCGGUAA